rnacentral:rRNA from 1 species
UACCUGGUUGAUCCUGCCAGUAGUCAUAUGCUUGUCUCAAAGAUUAAGCCAUGCAUGUCUAAGUAUAAGCACUCGUACUGUGAAACUGCGAAUGGCUCAUUAAAUCAGUUAUCGUUUAUUUGAUUGUACUUUACUACAUGGAUACCUGUGGUAAUUCUAGAGCUAAUACAUGCGAAAAAUCCCGACUUCUGGAAGGGAUGUAUUUAUUAGAUUAAAAACCAAUGCGUGCUUUCGGGCGCGUUUUCUUGGUGAUUCAUGAUAACUUUUCGAAUCGUAUGGCCUAGCGCCGGCGAUAUUUCAUUCAAAUUUCUGCCCUAUCAACUGUCGAUGGUAAGGUAGUGGCUUACCAUGGUUAUAACGGGUGACGGAGAAUUAGGGUUCGAUUCCGGAGAGGGAGCCUGAGAAACGGCUACCACAUCUAAGGAAGGCAGCAGGCUCGAAAAUUACCCAAUCCCGACUCGGGGAGGUAGUGACAAGAAAUAACGAUACGGGGUCUUAAUAGGUCUCGCAAUUGGAAUGAGUACAAUUUAAAUCCUUUAACGAGGAUCAAUUGGAGGGCAAGUCUGGUGCCAGCAGCCGCGGUAAUUCCAGCUCCAAUAGC